GGGGCCAUAGCUCAGUUGGGAGAGCGCUACAAUGGCAUUGUAGAGGUCAGGGGUUCGACUCCCCUUGGCUCCACCA
rnacentral:tRNA from 11 species